rnacentral:snRNA from 1 species
GAUCAUACCUGGCAGGGGAGACACCAUGAUCACAAAGGCGGUUUUCCCAGGGCGAGGCUCAUCCAUUGCACUCCGGGAUGUGCUGACCCCUGCGAUUUCCCCUAAUGUGGGGAAACUCGACUGCAUACUUUGUGGUAGUGGGGGGACUGCGUUCACGCUCUCCUCUU